AAAAGGCCUAGAGCCCAGCUACAGGAGAGUUCAUAAUUAAAAAUUUUCAAUGAAGCCCACUAAAUUUAGGUCCCAUAUGGCCAGAAUCCCACACUCCAAUUGGGUGAACUACCUUACAAAUUUGACCCAAAAAAUAUGAAAAAAUAUACCAAAAUGUAGCUGAACCUUCCACUAUUUGUUGCUUGAGAAGAUGCCCAUAGCCAUGAUUAGCGAAGAAAACAACUUAUCUCCCUAAUUACUGAUGCCAUUAAAGACUUAGAAAAAAUACUAAAGAUCAAAGGAGCCUGCUGGCAAAGUCUUCUCAUGUAGCUUCAUGGAUUUAGAGAGCUGUUGAACCCCAGGCUAAGAGGUUAGGCAUCAUUGAAGUUAUGCAUCGACACCACAGCAAGCAUAGAACGUCGGCGAUGGGUCUCUUUAGUGUCCCAUUUGCACCUUCCAGGCUGAUCUACCAAAUCGCACCCUAUGAGCUGCCCACCAGACGACCGGUUCCAUGCUAGAUCAGAGAAAAACUAAGAAUUCUCUGACACAUGCAGCUUCCAAAGUCAACCUUCAACAA
rnacentral:misc_RNA from 1 species